GAGGUCCUUGAUACCGAGAGAGGAAACACUGAGAAUCAAAGACCUGAGAGAGAACGAUUCAGCCGAGUAGCGUUUCAUAUUAACAGCAUGGAGCUCUGAAGGGAUCAGCGGUUUACCUGGAACCACUUUGACCGUCAAAGAUCCAGAUGUGCAGGCGCAGGUUGAUCUGGUCUCCUGGGGGUCCGAAGCUGAUUUGCCACAGCAGCUGGGCUCCUCAUGGCCGCCCGUCCUUCGAUUGGUACCUCAACGGAACCAGUGUGUGAGUCCCUCCCCCCUCAUGACACGACCACAGCCGCCGGGAUCCAUGUGAUGUCACUCACGCUGGCUGCUGAGGAGAAGGACGCGUCCACUGUGCAAGUGUUCCGGGGAUGAAGAUUGAUGAACACACUAAUAAAUCUUGAUGCGUUUUUCUGUGAGUGCAGGUUGAAUGGAAGAAGAAGACGUCUAUUGUGCUACCGGUGCUACUUUUCUAAUGUUAGUUAAAGUGUUACCCACCUUCGCAUCCCCCACAAUAAGUAGACGUAGUUGUCAAAUUCCAAAUGUUUUAUUUUAUUU